rnacentral:tRNA from 1 species
AGCAGCACGGCUUAGUGGAAAGAGCCUGGGCUUGGGAGUCAGAGGACAUGGGUUCUAAUCCCAGUUCUGCCA